AGGAUGAACGCCGGCGGCGUGCCUAACACAUGCAAGUCGAGCGAUUUACUUCGGUAAAGAGCGGCGGACGGGUGAGUAACGCGUGGGUAACCUGCCUCAUACACAUGGAUAACAUACCGAAAGGUAUGCUAAUACAGGAUAAUAUAAGAGAUUCACAUGGAUUUCUUAUCAAAGCUCCGGCGGUAUGAGAUGGACCCGCGUCUGAUUAGCUAGUUGGUAAGGUAAUGGCUUACCAAGGCGACGAUCAGUAGCCGACCUGAGAGGGUGAUCGGCCACAUUGGAACUGAGACACGGUCCAAACUCCUACGGGAGGCAGCAGUGGGGAAUAUUGCACAAUGGGCGAAAGCCUGAUGCAGCAACGCCGCGUGAGUGAUGAAGGCCUUCGGGUCGUAAAACUCUGUCCUCAAGGAAGAUAAUGACGGUACUUGAGGAGGAAGCCCCGGCUAACUACGUGCCAGCAGCCGCGGUAAUACGUAGGGGGCUAGCGUUAUCCGGAUUUACUGGGCGUAAAGGGUGCGUAGGUGGUUUUUUAAGUCAGGAGUGAAAGGCUACGGCUCAACCGUAGUAAGCUCUUGAAACUGGAAAACUUGAGUGCAGGAGAGGAAAGUGGAAUUCCUAGUGUAGCGGUGAAAUGCGUAGAUAUUAGGAGGAACACCAGUAGCGAAGGCGGCUCUCUGGACUGUAACUGACACUGAGGCACGAAAGCGUGGGGAGCAAACAGGAUUAGAUACCCUGGUAGUCCACGCCGUAAACGAUGAGUACUAGGUGUCGGGGGUUACCCCCCUCGGUGCCGCAGCUAACGCAUUAAGUACUCCGCCUGGGGAGUACGCUCGCAAGAGUGAAA
rnacentral:rRNA from 1 species